AGCAGCAUGGGAGAUUUUCCUUCCUUGCAUAAGAAGAGGAGCAGGGGAUAUGGAUAAUAGGAAAAGUGAAUCAGUCUGACUGCAGGAGAGCUGUGCAAUAAUUAAGGAAUAAUGUGCAGUGACCUGGUUAGCGGAUUGUUUACUGCAUGAAUGCAUGGAUUUAGCUUAAUGGGGACCUCUAGGGGGAAGACCCUGAAGAACCAGGAAGAGAAAGUAAUGACUGAGAAAAUUCUUGUCUUUGUUAAAACUUGAAGCUUGUCAAGAGGAGGCCAAGUUUGAGGCACAGUUAAUGUGGCGAGAGAGGAAGAUAUUGCAUAGAAAGAAGGGAAUUGAUCACUGCUUCAACUUAAUCAGUAGUGAAAAGAUUGUGAAGAUUUUUUUUUUUUAACUUGUCACCAUGAUAAGCUGGAGAAGAGGAGCAAGCUUGGCUGCAGCAGGGGAAGGUAAGAAGGGACGGGUAAUUCCUUGCUGCUGUUGUGAUUACUCAGUGCUUGGUUUAAAGCAGUCCUCAGCCAGCCCAGCACGGGCAGCUCCUCACUGGUGGCUGCAGAUGGAGAUGAAGACUAAUUGCUGGUGGAAAGAUCUCUGAUUUUCCUUGUGUUGAUAACUUUGCUGGGAGCACCAUUAAUGCUCUGCUGCUGGCCCCACUCCAAUGGUUGCACCAACUGCAACAGCUCUUCUCUCAUCACAGCUCCAUUUUCCACAUAUUCUAGGGUGAUAACAACCUGGUGUCAUGCUUGCAACUCUACCAAAAAGCCAGCGUGAGGCUGUUGUGCAGCGCUGUGCACCAGCCUGUGCUGUUGCGUCAGCAUCCACAAGCUAUUCCUGGCCCUGUGGAUGUCAUUCGUCCUGGCUGACAUCAGCGAUGGGCAGCAAGUGCUCUGUCUCCUCUAAGGCUCUCCCUGGAGGUACAUCCAGUGACUCACCCUCUCCCAAAAUAAGUCCUCGCCAGGUGCCUGCAGGCAGUGAUUCAUUUCACCUCUCCCUCAUCAUCUGCUUUCAGGAGAGCUGACGCGACAGGCUCAGCCCAGGCGUCAAACUUCCCGAUGGCUGGAAAGAGAGGAGAUGAGUUUUGCACUCCCUACUGCCAAGGAUGCAGUGGUUGUUUGCUGUGUAUCAGCUGGUGAAGGGUCAGCUUUCAUGAAUACAGCUGUCACCACCAGAGAGAGAGAGAUGGCAGUGGAUGUAAGGAAGCGGAGCAGCUCUUUGAUUUCACUCCAGCUGUGCAAGUGGGGUCUUAAGUGAAGUGCUGCUGUUCAGUUCCCAGCUGAGAAGAAGGCUGCUGGAGGAAAUAACUGCCCAUUUCCAAAUUGUUGUGCAUUGGCUGAAAGUAGGAGCAAAGCAGAGCGAGCUGCAGUGGAUCACAGUGCUAACAAGUUUGUAUUUCUGCACGGCACAGGAUGUAUUAGAAGUAAAAUGUGUGAACUCCUUGGGAAAGAAGAACGAUGUUUUUUCACUAUAAAGCAAC
ensembl:lncRNA